UAUAUAUAUAGCUUGACUAGGCUAUCGGUAGAAAACUGCUCGAUUAGCUACCAAUUUAUUUUUGAUGAUAGAGCUUCUAAAUUAAUGUUCGGUACCAUUGAAUAUGAUCUACACUAUUUAAACUAUUUAGAAAUCAAAUAUCAUAAUUGUUUGGUAUCACUAACCAAACGUGAAAGAGUCACAAAAUUUGUAAUUUUAGUAGUCGAUAUAGUGCAUUUGCUCAUUUAACGACAGAGAAGAGUUCAAAUCAACUAAAUUUUUGUUAGAAAAUUCUUUAAACUAUUUAAAAUAAGAUCUAUGCUAUAAGUUAUUUUUUAUAAUAGAAUUUCUGAAUCGAUGAUCCAUAUCAUUAAACAUGAUUUAAAACAUUUAAAAUUUUUAAAAAUCAAAUUUCAUAAUUUUUCAACAUCAUUACCUUAUGAUCAAAAGAUUUUAAUUAAAAUUGAUAAAUUUUAAUGGCCAGUGUGGAUACUUGAAGAAUCUGAUUAUCUAUUUUUAUGAGGUUAUUCAAUUUUGACCAUUCAUUUUAUACAUGCUUAGUGGACUUUAAUAUAAUUUCAAAAAAAUGUGAAAUAUAUUUUUAAAAAGUUUUGAAUGUUCUAGAUUAUAUUUAAUCGUAUGGAUCAUCGAUUAGGAAGCUUAAUCAUAUUUAAAAACAACUUAUGAGUAUGAAUGGAUCUAUACCUAUAGGAGUCUAAUAGU
rnacentral:lncRNA from 1 species